GGACCGAACUUCAGCGUCGGUGGUGGACACUAUAUAUUCUUAUCGUGCACCUAACUUUAAACAAGCCCAUGCUGCUCCUGGGAAAACAAAGUGUCUGGGUGCUGGGAUAUUUAACAGACAAUCUCCCGCGAGCGGACAUGAAAUAUGUCUUUUCUAAAUUAUUGCAAAAAGAAAACUUGGCGGGGAUUGUGCGCCUUCACGCAUCUGUCAGAAACCAUCUGAAAGCAGGUGAGCCACUGACUAACGCACAUUGUGCCCGUUUCCAGUUCCACUGUGCGUGUGACAGCGGCUAACCUGGUUUUGGGAGCACUUCUCAACCAGUCCCCCCCCCCCCCCCCACCACCACCACCACCACCAACCUCCCGUGGACACGUCCCUGGGACAGAGGCCUGUUCUACAUGACUUCAUAUGUGUGUGUGUGUACUGUACUUCCUCCUAUCACACGCUGUACCUUAUUUUAGGGCCAGUAGCCUUUUGCAUUUUCUCCUCCAGGAGUUGACUUCUGGUAAUGCCUCUGCUACUGUGGAGGUUAUUGGUGAGUGUUAUAUUUGAGUUUCAGUUUUCAUCUGAGGUUGUUGUUUUUUUUUUAAAACAAGAGAACCACAGAACCGGAAGUUCUAAUAGCUGACAAGUUACUUAACUAUAUAGAGUCUGGUUUGAAUGUGUUUAUUAAUAAAGUAAUAUUUCCUCAAUUUCUUUUCUAUCUAUUUACACUGAGAUGUAUGAAAGCUCAAAUUCGAGCUCUCAAGUAAAGAAAUGAGAUUCCUUGUUUAUGUUUGUAAGAAAUAGUAAAGUUUCUGUGAUAUUGUGUAUUUUGUUUCACCGUGUAAUGCAUUUCCUGGUGUCAGCGCGCUUCUUUCAUUUCACCAGUGUCCCAUGAGUCACGGUGACACAGAGGAAUAGAUAAGUGCAGUAUGUCAGACUCAUUAACUUGUGGCCUCAUUCAUCAUCCCACAGUGAUGUGGAUGUGCAGAUGCUCACUCUCAUCCACAUGAAGGAGGCUGUGUGCCAGACACCCGCAGCCUGUUCUAAACACUUAUUGAUUAGUGGCCGUCAAAAGUGGUCGAACGUUCAAAAACAAUAAGCAAAAAAAAAGCCAUUAAGUCGGUUCAGAUGGGGUUUAUGUGGAGCGCCAUUGUGUGAGCAAAUAAUAAUUCCUUCAGUGUUGCGUCCUGAAUCACCAGCGUAAUCUGUUAAUGUCUCGUUUGUGAGAUUGUAGUCCUCCGGAGUUCAGAUAUGAGGUGUGGGUGAGGCCGGGCACGUUCCACUUUGCAAGUAGGAGAACUGUAAAUUACACGGAAAUAUACAUAAAAAUGGAAAUAACAUAUGAAACAUUGAUGUCUGCUGAAAAUAAAACAUUGGACGUAAA